AGUGAACGCUGGCGGUAGGCCUAACACAUGCAAGUCGAACGGCAGCACAGUAAGAGCUUGCUCUUACGGGUGGCGAGUGGCGGACGGGUGAGGAAUACAUCGGAAUCUACUUUUUCGUGGGGGAGAACGUAGGGAAACUUACGCUAAUACCGCACACGACCUACGGGUGAAAGCAGGGGAUCUUAGGACCUUGCGCGAUUGAAUGAGCCGAUGUCGGAUUAGCUAGUUGGCGGGGUAAAGGCCCACCAAGGCGACGAUCCGUAGCUGGUCUGAGAGGAUGAUCAGCCACACUGGAACUGAGACACGGUCCAGACUCCUACGGGAGGCAGCAGUGGGGAAUAUUGGACAAUGGGCGCAAGCCUGAUCCAGCCAUACCGCGUGGGUGAAGAAGGCCUUCGGGUUGUAAAGCCCUUUUGUUGGGAAAGAAAAGCAGCAGGUUAAUACCCCGCUGUUCUGACGGUACCCAAAGAAUAAGCACCGGCUAACUUCGUG
rnacentral:rRNA from 1 species